rnacentral:rRNA from 2 species
AACGGAGGGGGCAAGCGUUAUUCAUCCUUAUUGGGCGUAAAGGGUAUGUAGGUAAUGAAAAGUGUUUUUUUAAAAAGCUCAAAUACCAAUUUGAAACAGAAAAAAACAUUGAUUAAUUCGAGAUGUAAGAGGUUGGCGGUAUUACUAAUGUAAAGGUAAAAUCUAACGAGAUUAGUACGAAUACCUGAGGCGCAGGCGGCUUUCUUUAUCAUCUGACACUGAAAUACUAAAGCGUGGGGAUCAAACAGG